AACGCUGGCGGUAGGCUUAACACAUGCAAGUCGUGCGAGAAAGUAUCUUCGGAUAUGAGUAGAGCGGCGGACGGGUGAGUAACGCGUAGGAAUCUACCUAGUAGAAGGGGAUAGCCCGAGGAAACUCGGAUUAAUACCGUAUACCUCCUUCGGGAGAAAGAAGGCCUCUCAUUGAAGCUUUCGCUACUAGAUGAGCCUGCGUAAGAUUAGCUUGUUGGUGAGGUAAAGGCUCACCAAGGCAACGAUCUUUAGCGGGUCUGAGAGGACGAUCCGCCACAUUGGGACUGAGACACGGCCCAGACUCCUACGGGAGGCAGCAGUGGGGAAUAUUGGACAAUGGGCGCAAGCCUGAUCCAGCCAUACCGCGUGUGUGAAGAAGGCCCUAGGGUUGUAAAGCACUUUAAGUUGGGAAGAAAAGUUAUUGGUUAAUAUCCAAUAGCCGUGACAUUACCAUCAGAAUAAGGACCGGCUAAUUCCGUGCCAGCAGCCGCGGUAAUACGGAAGGUCCAAGCGUUAAUCGGAAUUACUGGGCGUAAAGCGCGCGUAGGUGGUUUAUUAAGUUGGAUGUGAAAUCCCCGGGCUCAACCUGGGAACUGCAUCCAAAACUGAUUCACUAGAGUACGAUAGAGGGAGGUAGAAUUCACAGUGUAGCGGUGGAAUGCGUAGAUAUUGUGAAGAAUACCAAUGGCGAAGGCAGCCUCCUGGAUCUGUACUGACACUGAGGUGCGAAAGCGUGGGUAGCGAACAGGAUUAGAUACCCUGGUAGUCCACGCCGUAAACGAUGUCAACUAGCUGUUGGGGAACUAUGUUCUUCAGUGGCGCAGCUAACGUAGUAAGUUGACCGCCUGGGGAGUACGGCCGCAAGGCUAAAACUCAAAUGAAUUGACGGGGACCCGCACAAGCGGUGGAGCAUGUGGUUUAAUUCGAUGCAACGCGAAAAACCUUACCUAUACUUGACAUACUUGGAAUGCUUUGUAAUGAAGCAGUGCCUUCGGGAGCCAGGAUACAGGUGCUGCAUGGCUGUCGUCAGCUCGUGUCGUGAGAUGUUCCGUUAAGUCGGAUAACGAGCGCAACCCACAUCCCUAGUUGCCAGCAGUUCGGCUGGGCACUCUAUGGAAACUGCCCGUGAUAAGCGGGAGGAAGGUGUGGAUGACGUCAAGUCCUCAUGGCCCUUACGGGUUGGGCUACACACGUGCUACAAUGG
rnacentral:rRNA from 1 species